CACGUAGUCAACAUGCCCAGGGGACGUGGAUAACCUCGGGAAACUGAGGAUAAACCGCGAUAGGUCACUACUUCUGGAAUGGGUAAUGACUCAAACCUAUAUGGCCCCUGGAUUGGACUGCGGCCGAUCAGGCUGUUGGUGAGGUAAUGGCCCACCAAACCUGUAACCGGUACGGGCUCUGAGAGGAGGAGCCCGGAGAUGGGCACUGAGACAAGGGCCCAGGCCCUAUGGGGCGCAGCAGGCGCGAAACCUCUGCAAUAGGCGAAAGCCUGACAGGGUUACUCUGAGUGAUCUCCGUUAAGGAGAUCUUUUGGCACCUCUAAAAAUGGUGCAGAAUAAGGGGUGGGCAAGUCUGGUGUCAGCCGCCGCGGUAAUACCAGCACCCCGAGUGGUCGGGACGUUUAUUGGGCCUAAAGCAUCCGUAGCCGGUUCUACAAGUCUUCCGUUAAAUCCAGCUGCUUAACAGAUGGGCUGCGGAAGAUACUAUGGAGCUAGGAGGCGGGAGAGGCAAGCGGUACUCGAUGGGUAGGGGUAAAAUCCGUUGAUCCAUUGAAGA
rnacentral:rRNA from 1 species